GAAUCCCGUCUUUGGCACGGAAACCCCAGGGCUUUUGUGAUGCGCUCUCGAAGAGUCGAGUUGUUUGGGAAUGCAGCUCAAAAUGGGUGGUGAACUCCAUCUAAAGCUAAAUAUUGGCGAGAGACCGAUAGCGAACAAGUACCGUGAGGGAAAGAUGAAAAGCACUUUGGAAAGAGAGUGAAACAGUACGUGAAAUUGUUGAAAGGGAAACGCUUGAAGUCAGUCGCGUCGACCGAGACUCAGCCUUGCCCUUGGCUUGGUGUACUUCUCGGCUGACGGGUCAGCAUCAAUUUUGCCCCUUGGAUAAUGGCGAGGGAAAUGUGACACCUUUACGGUGUGUUAUAGUCUCUUGUCGCAUGCAAGGGUUGGGAUUGAGGAACUCAGCACGCACCUUUGGGUGUCGGGGCUUUGCCCACGAUACGUGCUUAGGAUGUUGGCGUAAUGGCUUUAAACGACCCGUCUUGAAACACGGACCAAGGAGUCUAACAUGCCUGCGAGUGUUCGGGUGGAAAACUCGUGCGCGCAAUGAAAGUGAAAGUUGGGACCUCUGUCGUGGAGGGCACCGACGCCCGGACCAGACCUUCUGUGACGGCUCUGCGGUAAAGCAUGUAUGUUAGGACCCGAAAGAUGGUGAACUAUGCCUGAAUAGGGUGAAGCCAGAGGAAACUCUGGUGGAGGCUCGUAGCGAUUCUGACGUGCAAAUCGAUCGUCAAAUUUGGGUAUAGGGGCGAAAGACUAAUCGAACCAUCUAGUAGCUGGUUC
rnacentral:rRNA from 1 species